rnacentral:lncRNA from 10 species
ACCAGCCCUCCACACCUCGGCAGCACUCGUGGGUCCUCCUCAACCAGGCGGACACGAGAAACAGAUGAUAACAUGGUGCAAGGACAGACUUCAGCUCACCAAUCAGAUGAAGGUUUUGGGGUUGGGUUUUUUCAGACAACGAUGUACAUUUUAGCUUCCAAAUGUGCACAGGGGCACAAAGGUCUGGAUGCUGGGCACUACGGGUACCACAAGAGGAUGGAAAGAACCAGCUCAUUCGGUUUUAUUGUAUGUAUGUAUGUAUUUAUUUUGAGACAGAAUCUCACUCUGUCGUCCAGGCUGGAAGCGAAACUCCGUCUCAAAAAAAAAAAAAAUUAAAUAAAUAAAUAAAUAAAAUAAAAAAUAAAUACAUAAAGUGACCUCCUUUAAUCAUGUUGAAUAGUGUUCACCACUUUUAGGCAAU